GAAAUAGCUCAGUUGGAGAGCGUUAGACUGAAGAUCUAAAUCCCUGGUUCAACCGGUUUGGGCAGAUUCU